UACGAAGGGGGCUAGCGUUGUUCGGAAUCACUGGGCGUAAAGGGCGCGUAGGCGGUCGUGACAAGUCACUUGUGAAAUCUCCGGGCUUAACUCGGAACGGUCAAGUGAUACUGUCGGACUAGAGUACAGAAGGGGCAACUGGAAUUCUCGGUGUAGCGGUGAAAUGCGUAGAUAUCGAGAGGAACACCUGCGGCGAAGGCGGGUUGCUGGGCUGAUACUGACGCUGAGGCGCGAAAGCCAGGGGAGCGAACGGG
rnacentral:rRNA from 1 species